rnacentral:misc_RNA from 1 species
AUUUAUGCUUUGAUUUUUUUGUUUUUAUCCUGUACCGACGAUGGCGGAGCGCCUCUCCUCCCCGUCCUCUAUCGCACGCCUCCUCCCCGCCGCCGCAUCGGCGCGCCGCGCGCUGCCGAAAUCCGCUACCAUCCUUCUCCCCUCCGCCCCCCUUCGCCGAUUCGCACUCCGAUCCUCGUCUCCUCUCCCCGCCCUCCUCCUCCGCCAGGGCCCGGCGAAACGCGGAUUGAGUUUAAUCCGAGGUUAUGCGUCCGCUACUUGCUCGGCGUCGGACGUGGAUCAGCUGAAGAGCGCGCAGGCGGAUCUACG